rnacentral:rRNA from 1 species
UGAACGCUGACAGAAUGCUUAACACAUGCAAGUCUUUGGCGAAGCUGUGCUUGCACAGCCUCGCCAAGGCGGACGGGUGAGUAACGCGUAAGGAACUUGCCCUGCAGUCAGGGAUAACAGACGGAAACGACUGAUAAGACCUGGUAAAGUCAGGCGGACUCAUGUCCAGCCUGAUGAAAAGAGAUGCUGCAGGAGAGCCUUGCGUCCUAUUAGCUUGUUGGUGGGGUAACGGCCCACCAAGGCGAUGAUAGGUAGCCGGCCUGAGAGGGUGGACGGCCACAAGGGGACUGAGAUACGGCCCUUACUCCUACGGGAGGCAGCAGUGGGGAAUAUUGGACAAUGGGGGCAACCCUGAUCCAGCAAUUCUGUGUGCACGAUGAAGGUUUUCGGAUUGUAAAGUGCUUUCAGCAGGGAAGAAAAAAUGACGGUACCUGCAGAAGAAGCGACGGCUAAAUACGUG